ensembl:lncRNA
AGGACGUCUCAGGGUGUCCCAACGCCUGCCGCUCUGCGGGUCCACGCCGCCCACCUGCGCCACCACCUGCCGCAGAGGAGUCUCAAACGGCUCCGAACACAGCCGCCGCCAUCGCCGUCCCUACGCCGCUAACAGAAGCAUUUAUAAAUUGCAUUAAUGUCCACAUUCCAAGAAGCUCUAUGAAGAUCACCAAUAAUGGUAUUUUUGAGAGCACACAGAAAAAAAAAAAGAAGAAACAAAGGCUAAGUGAUUUGGAUUAGAAAAGUGAUGAGAGAUAUACCACAGUCAAGUACUCGUGGUGCUACAGUCUGAAUUUGCCCUUGAACUUUAUGUGCUGAAAUGCUAACUCCAGUGUGACUAUAUUUGGACGUAGAGCAUUUGGGACACAACUGAGUUCAACAGGAGCCUUUUGGAUGGGGUCUUCAUGAAACAGUUAAUGUCCUUCUAAGGAGAGGAAGAGACUAGAGCCUCCUGUUGUAAGGGUAAAGCAAGAAUGCAGCCACCUGCAGAUUCUGCUCUCAAAUAGCUGCUAACUCCCUCCCUUCACACCUCAGUUUCCAGUGGGGCCCAGCCCAACCACGCAC